CUGCCCCAGAUCCCGCCGCCACGUGCCGCCCCGACGCAGCGCACGGCCGAGCUCCGAAAUUAUCCCCAGUCGCGGGCUCGCGUCGGCCGGCGGCAGCGCAACCAUAUUCUGGCAAGAACGGCGGUGCGUCGGCACCGUAGCAGCAGUAGCAGCAGUGCGACGCCGUCCCACAAUCCCGCUCCAUUAUCAAUCAAAUUACAGAAUUCAGAAUUUAAAAGAUUUAGACCGUCUGAAAAAUGAAGAACAAGUAGGACAAGUGUAGUAUCAAUUCUUCUUGCAAGUAAAGUACAGUGACAUCAUUUCUGGCUUACAAAAGGGAAAUUGUAGAGAACACUCUCCAGCUCCAGGGAGUGCGUGGAAGCGCUCAGGGAAAUCCAGGUAUAACUGGCUGCUCUCGGUUCCUGCGGUAGUGAUGCUGCUGUUUUAUGGUGAUUCUAGCGUAGAGGGGCUUUUGAUGAUCCUGCAACAUUAGUUGUACCUAGUAAACCGUGGAUUCCUUGAUUUUGAUGUCACUGUACACGGUACAGUCUGGUCUGUACAGCCAAGAUAUUUUAAAUCUACACUGAAAUUAGGAUGCAUGGCUGCUUACUUGCUGGGCUACUGCAGUGUUGUUAAUUUUGUUCAUCACAGAUUGUGUGAUAAUUCCAGCAAUUCGGUUUGUGUGCGCGCACUUAUUAUUACUACAGUGUAUGGUUCAUGAUCCACUAUUGUGGUGCCUAAUCUUAUUUUGUGGCUGCCAUGAAUUGUUCUCAGACACAAACAAUGGGAUAUUGGGAUUGCGCAGGAUUUUUGUAGAUAUCACUAUGCUAGAUGGCUUGUGUUUUACUUUAAAAUUUGUACCUUGAUUUUUUAUAGUAUUUCCUUCAUACCCAUGUGGCUGUGUGCAUGAAUUUCUCUAUUAUACAUUGUGCUAUCCACCGCCUUGGUGAUGCCCAACUCUAUCACAAAUUUACAGCUGCAUUUGAUUGUCUGUCAUAUUAAUCAAUU